GCUUGUCCCAGUUCCCAGCUGAAGGUAACACUCGGCACUAUGCUGUUGAUCAUCGUGAUAUUCCUUACUAUGGAAUAUUCCAAUUGAGUGGCCAUGAAUGGUGUGAUAAUGGAAGGCAUACUACACAGAACAAAUGCAACACUAGCUGUAACAAUUUCCUUGAUGAUAAUAUCAGGGAUGAUGUCCAGUGCCUUAAGAAAGUUCUCACAGAGUAUAGAAUAAAUCAUUGGAGACACUACAAGAACAAUUGCAACCUUAACACCCUCAGGAUAUAUAAUUUAAAAUGUGCUUAUUUCUUCGAAAAUGAUAAGUGGUAUAAAAAUCUAGUACGGGACGAACCCAGGAAACCCCUUAAAAUACAUAUCCAUUUUCCUAGUACUUAGCAAGUGAUUGUUCAUGUAAAAAUUAUUCCAGAAGAUAAUAAAUGUA